AGAGUUUGAUCUUGGCUCAGAAUCAACGCUGGCGGCGUGCCUAACACAUGCAAGUCGAACGCGAAAGGGGCUUCGGCCCUGAGUAGAGUGGCGAACGGGUGAGUAACGCGUGGGUGAUCUACCUUCGAGUGGGGGAUAACGUUCCGAAAGGAGCGCUAAUACCGCAUGAAGUUCUGGGUUUCAAGACCUGGAAACCAAAGCCGGGGACCGCAAGGCCUGGCGCUUGAAGAGGAGCCCGCGUCCGAUUAGCUAGUUGGCGGGGUAACGGCCCACCAAGGCGACGAUCGGUAGCCGGCCUGAGAGGGCGGACGGCCACACUGGAACUGAGACACGGUCCAGACUCCUACGGGAGGCAGCAGUGGGGAAUUGUUCACAAUGGGCGCAAGCCUGAUGACGCAACGCCGCGUGGGGGAUGAAGGUCUUCGGAUUGUAAACCCCUGUCGAACGGACGAAAGACUCGGGAGCUAAUCAUCUCGAGAGUGACGGUACCGUUAAGGAAGCCACGGCUAACUCUGUGCCAGCAGCCGCGGUAAU
rnacentral:rRNA from 1 species